rnacentral:rRNA from 1 species
GACGAACGCUGGCGGCGUGCUUAACACAUGCAAGUCGACAUGAGUGGCGAACGGGUGAGUAAUACGUGGGUAACCUGCCCUCCUUUUUGGGAUAAGCCCUGGAAACGGGGUCUAAUACCGAAUACAGGGGGAUGGGCUCGCGGCCUAUCAGAUUGUUGGUGGGGUGAGGGGUUACCAAGGCGGAGACGGGUAGCCGGCCUGAGAGGGUGACCAGCCACAUUGGGGCUCAGAUACGCCCCCGACUCCCACGGGAGGCAGCUGUGGGGGAUAUUGCAGAAUGGGCGAAAGCCUGCAGCAUCCACGCCGCGUGGGGGAUGAAGGCUUUCGGGUUGUACACCGCUUUCGCUUUCGAACGGGUAGGUGGAGAAGAAGCGCCGGCUAACUACGUGCCAGCAGCCGCGGUAAUUC